UCACAGAAAUCGCCAGACUUUUCUGGCAAGGAGAAAAGAUCAGUUUCAUUGCUUGCAGAACUAAUUCCGGGCACAAAAGUGAAGGCUCCGCCAUCGCUGCCUCUUUCACCGCUCCCUUUGUCCUGGCUUUUGAUGUGCACUGAAGAGCCCGGCCUGUGUUGGGGGCUCUUCAUCUCCAGUUCAUUGCCUGCCAUUAACAUACAUAUCCAUAUGAAAAGUGGGGUGCUAAAUAAUGCCUGUCUCCCAUUAAGCCAAAGUGAAGAACUCCCUCCCAGAAUCUUCCCAGCAGAUGUUCUUGAAGUUAUUCUAAGCCCAGCGAUUGCACGCUCUAAGUUCUGAGACUGGCCCUGGCUUAGCUGCUGACAAUGGCCAACGUACUAAAAGUUAUCCAAAGGAAGAGCUCGACAGGCCCAGAACACUGGAAGGUACAACAUCUUACAAAGACGACCAAACAGAUUUUUGGAAAUUAGUUUUGCGAACUUAAGCUAGACUUUUAUUUUUAAGGGAAGUGAUGAGGUUUUUUUUAUUCAUUCGUUCAUUUCACAAGCAUUUAUGCUUUUGAACAUACAAUGAUACAUUUUCUAGAAAGGUGACCUCUUUGCUACUCAAUCCCAAAGUAGAUGAUUUUGGCGAGUUCCAAAGGCCAUCAUCCACAGGGAAUCCAGGGGGGAAAAAAGAUGAUUCUGCAAGUGGAUAUAUGACUAUUUGUCUUCUGUUCAAGAGUAAGUUUUCCUUCCAGAAGAGGCUCUGAAAGCCAGAAGGCGGAGAGGUGGAGAGAUUUAAAAUUAAUGAAUAAGAAGUCCCUUCCCCAUCAUUUGGUCUGUGGCUUAGUUUUGUCAACCUCAGAAAGAAGCCUCGGGGUUGAUAAAUGCCUUUCCCCCGCCCCCCCCCCCUGGAGUUCAUGAUCCUGAGGCCAUCUUUUAGAAUGCUGCUGCACCCUAGGUUUGCCGGGCCUUCCAGGGAAAAUGAGGAUGGGUGAAGCUGUGUCAAUUACCAAGGGCUUGACAGAGUUUACAAGAGUUUUUGUGUGUGGUAUUGUUUUGUGCUCUCUCUCACUCUCUUUUUUUUUUAAUCGGAAGCAAAGUGCUGGGGCAGCCUGGCCUCGCCUCGUUCUGUAAAGAUUGUAUUCCCCUCCUGAUCCUC
rnacentral:lncRNA from 1 species